AGAACAAUCAAACAGUCAGAACAGUUUCUAAGGCCUAAUUUGUAUUCCGGGGGGGGGAAUUGUCUUGAGUAUGUUACUCACUGGAGAAGAAUGUUUAGGAGGGGAAUGAUUUGGCAGGCAGCUAUGCAAGGAUGGGAAAGAACUAACACCCC